CCAGUAGUCAUAUGCUUGUCUCAAAGAUUAAGCCAUGCAUGUCUAAGUACAUGCCGUAUUAAGGCGAAACCGCGAAUGGCUCAUUAAAUCAGUUAUGGUUCCUUGGAUCGUACCUUACUACUUGGAUAACUGUGGUAAUUCUAGAGCUAAUACAUGCAGCAGAGCUCCGACCUUCGGGGACGAGCGCUUUUAUUAGACCAAAACCAAUCGGACUCUGUCCGUCUCUUGUGGUGACUCUGAAUAACUUUGGGCUGAUCGCACGGGCCCGUCCCGGCGACGUAUCCUUCAAACGUCUGCCUUAUCAACUUUCGAUGGUAGGUUACGCGCCUACCAUGGUCGUAACGGGUAACGGGGAAUCAGGGUUCGAUUCCGGAGAGGGAGCCUGAGAAACGGCUACCACAUCCAAGGAAGGCAGCAGGCGCGCAAAUUACCCACUCCCAGAACGGGGAGGUAGUGACGAAAAAUAACAAUACGGGACUCUUUUGAGACCCCGUAAUUGGAAUGAGUACACUCUAAAUCCUUUAACGAGGAUCCAUUGGAGGGCAAGUCUGGUGCCAGCCGCCGCGGUAACUCCAGCUCCAAUAGCGUAUAUUAAAGUUGUUGCGGUUAAAAAGCUCGUAGUUGGAUCUCAGUUCCAGACGGGUGGUCCGCCUACCGGUGGUUACUGCCUGUUCUGAACAGCCAGCCGGUUUCUCUUGAUGAUCUUCACCGGUUGUCUUGGGUGACCGGCAAGUUUACUUUGAAAAAAUUAGAGUGCUCAAAGCAGGCGCGACGCCUGAAUAAUGGUGCAUGGAAUAAUGGAAUAGGACCUCGGUUCUAUUUUGUUGGUUUUCGGAACACGAGGUAAUGAUUAAGAGGGACAGACGGGGGCAUUCGUAUNGCGACGCUAGAGGUGAAAUUCUUGGACC
rnacentral:rRNA from 1 species